rfam:Mus musculus chromosome 17, GRC primary reference assembly.
GCUCAGUGGGUAAGAGCACUGCUGAUCUUGCAGAGGACCUGGGUUCAAUUCCCAG